AGUGAACGCUGGCGGUAGGCCUAACACAUGCAAGUCGAACGGCAGCACAGUAAGAGCUUGCUCUUACGGGUGGCGAGUGGCGGACGGGUGAGGAAUACAUCGGAAUCUACUUUUUCGUGGGGGAUAACGUAGGGAAACUUACGCUAAUACCACAUACGACCUACGGGUGAAAGCAGGGGAUCUUCGGACCUUGCGCGAUUGAAUGAGCCGAUGUCGGAUUAGCUAGUUGGCGGGGUAAAGGCCCACCAAGGCGACGAUCCGUAGCUGGUCUGAGAGGAUGAUCAGCCACACUGGAACUGAGACACGGUCCAGACUCCUACGGGAGGCAGCAGUGGGGAAUAUUGGACAAUGGGCGAAAGCCUGAUCCAGCCAUACCGCGUGGGUGAAGAAGGCCUUCGGGUUGUAAAGCCCUUUUGUUGGGAAAGAAAAGCAGCAGGUUAAUACCCCGCUGUUCUGACGGUACCCAAAGAAUAAGCACCGGCUAACUUCGUG
rnacentral:rRNA from 1 species